rnacentral:rRNA from 1 species
CAAGUCGAGCGAGACCUUCGGGUCUAGCGGCGGACGGGUUAGUAACGCGUGGGAACGUGCCCUUCUCUGCGGAAUAGCCACUGGAAACGGUGAGUAAUACCGCAUACGCCCUUCGGGGGAAAGAUUUAUCGGAGAAGGAUCGGCCCGCGUUAGAUUAGAUAGUGUGGGGUAACGGCGUACCAAGUCUACGAUCUAUAGCUGGUUUUAGAGGGAUGAUNCAGCAACACUGGGACUGAGACACGGCCCAGACUCCUACGGGAGGCAGCAGUGGGGAAUCUUAGACAAUGGGCGCAAGCCUGAUCUAGCCAUGCCGCGUGUGUGAUGAAGGUCUUAGGAUCGUAAAGCACUUUCGCCAGGGAUGAUAAUGACAGUACCUGGUAAAGAAACCCCGGCUAACUCCGUG